AUACGUAGGUGGCGAGCGUUAUCCGGAAUUACUGGGUGUAAAGGGUGUGUAGGCGGGGAACCAAGUCAGAUGUGAAAAUUACGGGCUCAACCCGUAACCUGCGUCUGAAACUGGAUCUCUUGAGAGUGGGAGAGGGAAACGGAAUUCCUUGUGUAGCGGUGAAAUGCGUAGAUAUAAGGAAGAACACCAGUGGCGAAGGCGGCCUACUGGACAGUAACUGACGCUGAGGCGCGAAAGCGUGGGGAGCAAACAGGAUUAGAUACCCUGGUAGUCCACGCUGUAAACGAUGAAUACUAGGUGUGGGGGGACUGACCCCCUCCGUGCCGCAGUUAACACAAUAAGUAUUCCACCUGGGGAGUACGGCCGCAAGGUUGAAACUCAAAUGAAUUGACGGGG
rnacentral:rRNA from 1 species